AAUUAGCGCUAGGGGUGCCCUAAUCCGAAAGGACUAAGGCUGAGAACAUACCCUCUGAACCUGAACCUGGAUAAUACCAGCGGAGGAAAGCAUGAAAAAAUUCUC
rnacentral:ncRNA from 2 species